GAGUAACCCUGUGGAGCUAGCCGUCGAAGGUGGGACAAAUGAUUGGGGUGAAGUAGUAACAAGGUAGCGGUAUCGGAAGGUGCGGCUGGAUCACCCCCUUUCUACGGA
rnacentral:rRNA from 1 species